UGCCCCAUUGGGGCUUGGCAUGCGCCUGCAGCCAGAGAAAGCCCUUAGGCAGAUGCACAGCUGCUUGUGGUGGAAGGCCACAGCAUGCCCGCGAACUGCACUGUGAUCUCCAGCGUGGUCGGACAGGAUGUGGUGGGACACGGUCUGCUAUACGGACAAUCUCCAUGACCACCGCUAUCUCCACGGCACUCACUACCUGCCAUUCUGUGAUGACUUCUUAUACACAACCCCAUUUCAUCCUUGUACCAACCUGGGGAGGGAAAAUGGCCCAGUGACCACGCAAGGAGAGAGACACACGGCAUCAGCUGCGGCCAGGCGCCCUCCGCUGGCCACUCUGGUGGUUGCAGGGUGGACACAAAAUGCCACCCACAGCGGCCCUGCCAGGGUGCCAUGGCUGGGUGACUUCUGCUACCUUUCCCCCAGGCAAUUAUGUUGCAAGCACACAUGCUUUUCUUCGGUAAAAUGUUAUCUCGAUCCAGACGGUAAACUGAAGUUACAUGGCAGGCUGUUAAAAUAUACUCUCCAUUGAAUAAAUGGAUCCGGGAGCGUGAAAACCGCUUCCUGGGGAAGGUAAAGCGAGACAAUGUUUGCAGAGGAGAGGAAGCUCUGGCAUGCACCCCUGAACAAAAGGGAACAAGUGGUCUUUACUUGGAGAACGGCUUCCUAUUAGGACUCACUCCUUCGUACAUUAUGCCUUUCAUCCCCACUCAACCACAAAAUGAUUUUGCUGAAGCAAAUACAAUGGUAGAAAAAGAUUUACACUGAAAGAAUCUUUAAUAAUAAACUGUUGCCGAUCUGCCUACUUGCCCGUGAUUUAUAAUACAAUAAACAUCGGAUUCUAUUACGGCUCAUGCACUGAAGCUGCUGCUCGGAAAAACGGAAUAUGAAAGCACCCGGAUCCCACCACCAUCACAAUGAAAUGAG